rnacentral:rRNA from 1 species
AACGAACGCUGGCGGCAGGCUUAACACAUGCAAGUCGAGCGCCCCGCAAGGGGAGCGGCAGACGGGUGAGUAACGCGUGGGAAUCUACCCAUCUCUACGGAAUAACGCAUGGAAACGUGUGCUAAUACCGUAUACGUCCUUCGGGAGAAAGAUUUAUCGGAGAUGGAUGAGCCCGCGUUGGACUAGCUAGUUGGUGGGGUAAAGGCCUACCAAGGCGACGAUCCAUAGCUGGUCUGAGAGGAUGAUCAGCCACACUGGGACUGAGACACGGCCCAGACUCCUACGGGAGGCAGCAGUGGGGAAUAUUGGACAAUGGGCGCAAGCCUGAUCCAGCCAUGCCGCGUGAGUGAUGAAGGCCCUAGGGUUGUAAAGCUCUUUCACCGGUGAAGAUAAUGACGGUAACCGGAGAAGAAGCCCCGGCUAACUUCGUGACAGCAGCCGCGGUAAGAC